rnacentral:rRNA from 1 species
GAUGAACGCUGGCGGCGUGCCUAAUACAUGCAAGUCGAGCGAACAGAUGAGGAGCUUGCGCCGCUGACGUUAGCGGCGGACGGGUGAGUAACACGUGUAUAACCUACCUAUAAGACGGGGAUAACUUCGGGAAACCGGAGCUAAUACGGGAGAAUAUAUUGAAGCGCAGGGGUGGAUGGUGAAAGACGGCGGUGCGGGCAGUUAUAGAGGGAUCCGCGCCGGUUUGGCUGGUUGGUCAGGUAACGGCUUACCAAGGCAACGAUGCGUUGGCGAGCUGAGAGACUGAUAGCCCGCCCUGGAACUGGGCCACCCUCCAGACUCCUAAGAUAGGCACCAGUCGCCAAUCUUACGCAAUGGUCGAGAGCCUGACGCAGCAACCCCGCGCCUGUGAUGACGGCCUCCCGUUCGUAAUACUCUCUUAUUAGGGAAGAACCACUUUCUCCUUAACCAUGCCCUUAUUGACGGUACCUAAUAAGAAAGCACCGGCUAACUACGUG